rnacentral:rRNA from 1 species
GUCUGGAAUAAACCGGCCGAAAGGCUGGCUAAUACUGGAUAGUUCAAGCGGAUUGUAAGGAUCCGAUUGGGAAAGGGAGCGGGAAACCGCCUUUGCUUUUUGAUGAGCCCGCGUCUGAUUAGCUAGUUGGUGAGGUAAUGGCUCACCAAGGCUGAGAUCAGUAGCUGGUCUGAGAGGAUGAUCAGCCACACUGGAACUGAAACACGGUCCAG